rnacentral:rRNA from 1 species
UGACCUCGAAUCAGAUGAGACUACCCCCUGACUUAAGCAUAUCAUAAGCGAG